CAUAUAAAUUUGUACCACCUCGUAUAGCACGUCGAAAAGGAAUGCUUCCUUUUGAUCCAGAAAACCCCAGACAACAUUUCCCCGGAUUCCCCGAGCCUCCCCGUGGGUAUGGAGGAAAGGACCGGGUGCCCACGCCGCCUAUACGAAUUCUAAAACAGCCCACACCUAUUCCUUCACAUGACGAUAAUUCACCUGGUUCUCCGGACUCUCCAGACG